rnacentral:rRNA from 1 species
UACGUAGGGGGCAAGCGUUGUCCGGAAUUAUUGGGCGUAAAGAGCGUGUAGGCGGCCUGGUAGGUCAGCUGUGAAAACUCGAGGCUCAACCUCGAGACGUCGGUUGAAACCACCUGGCUAGAGUCCGGAAGAGGAGAGUGGAAUUCCCGGUGUAGCGGUGAAAUGCGCAGAUAUCGGGAAGAACACCCGUGGCGAAGGCGGCUCUCUGGGACGGUACUGACGCUGAGACGCGAAAGCGUGGGGAGCGAACAGG